rnacentral:rRNA from 1 species
UACGAGGGGAGCAAGCGUUGUUCGGAUUUACUGGGCGUAAAGAGCGCGCAGGCGGUCGUCCAAGUCGCGUGUGAAAGCCCCCGGCUCAACUGGGGAGGGUCACGCGAUACUGUUCGACUCGAAGGCAGGAGAGGGAAGUGGAAUUCCCGGUGUAGUGGUGAAAUGCGUAGAUAUCGGGAGGAACACCAGUGGCGAAGGCGACUUCCUGGCCUGUUCUUGACGCUGAGGCGCGAAAGCUAGGGUAGCAAACGGG